GCCCGGCUGGCGCAAUGGUAGCGCGUAAGACUUCUACUUUGCCUCUUGAAUUCUUGAGGACCAAGAGAUAUAGAAAAGCUUAAUCUUAAGGUUGUGGGUUCGAGUCCCACGUCGGGUG